rnacentral:rRNA from 1 species
AUUGAACGCUGGCGGCAUGCCUUACACAUGCAAGUCGAACGGCAGCACGGGUGCUUGCCCCUGGUGGCGAGUGGCGAACGGGUGAGUAAUACAUCGGAGCAUGUCCUGUAGUGGGGGAUAGCCCGGCGAAAGCCGGAUUAAUACCGCAUACGAUCUACGGCUGAAAGCGGGGGACCUUCGGGCCUCGCGCUAUAGGGUUGGCCGAUGGCUGAUUAGCUAGUUGGUGGGGUAAAGGCCUACCAAGGCGACGAUCAGUAGCUGGUCUGAGAGGACGACCAGCCACACUGGGACUGAGACACGGCCCAGACUCCUACGGGAGGCAGCAGUGGGGAAUUUUGGACAAUGGGCGAAAGCCUGAUCCAGCAAUGCCGCGUGUGUGAAGAAGGCCUUCGGGUUGUAAAGCACUUUUGUCCGGAAAGAAAUCCUUGGCCCUAAUACGGUCGGGGGAUGACGGUACCGGAAGAAUAAGCACCGGCUAACUACG